AAGAAGAAAGUAUUUUCGCGGCUCAUGAGAUUUGUUCUUGAGGACUGGGCUAUAGGGAGUUCGGAAUCUAAUUGAGAAAAGCCCUAACAUGGCAUUGGUCGUCAGAUUGUCCACACUCAUGUUUGUCCUCACCACAGGGACUGAGACAUCCAAAAACAGCUCUUGAGAAUCCUGAAAAUCCUGGGAAUCAAAAGGAAAUUCCAAAGAACAGUUACAUGGGUGUGGCUGCUGUAUUUGUGGUAGUAGGCUCGCUUGCCAUUGGACUGCUGCUUCUCAAGCUGUUUCAAGCCAUAAGACUCAGACAACGUGCCUAGUGAACACGACCCUGCUUUCGAAAGUCUCCGCAGAGAGGAAUGCAGAGAUGAACCAUUGACACAGGAGGACUGUUGUGGCAGAAGGUAUGUUUGUGUUUAUUAUUUUCGUCUACCUAAUGGAAGAGGGAUUCCUGUCAAAACUAUCAAAUGUAUAGUAAAAUGCAAGGGAUAAAAUGUGUACAGUAAACUGUAGGGCCAACAGUAAAAUGCUAUGUAUAAAAUGUGUACAGUAAAAUAGUGUAUAACAGUGUUGGUAUUCCUAUUGUCCCCUAUGGAACCAGAGCCUGAGGAUACAGCAGUCCCAGCAGAGCGCAACCUCAGCACCAUGACAGGACUGUUUCCAUAGCGACAGAUGUAUUAUCAGGAGUGCUAUGGGCUCUCUUCCCUGUCGGUGUCAUGUCCACUCUGUCUUAAACGUCACCCAGCUAACUGAAUGUGACUGCUUUGCCUGGAAAAGGGAAAAAUCUGGCGCAACACUCUAUUCUGUUCCCCCUCUGCAGGAGAAAGAGUCCAUUCAUUGUCCUGCUAACAGUAUUAACAGCAUUGUCUGUAGUUGUUAACCACACCAGAUUAUUCUUUCAUAAAAAAUAUUAUCUAUUGUGAAUAAAACCUGAAAUGAGAGUAUAUAGGACUAUCUGUAGAAGGACACACACAUUUGCACAUAUUAAGUGGACAUUGAUUUGACAGUGAAGACACUAGUGUGACACAGUAGCACUGUGUGAAAUUGAUCUUGACCAAACACAUAUUUUGUGCAUCACAAUUUGAGUAAGUAAUUUAUUCAGAAGCCAAUAGUGGAUUUGAGAGUUGCUUUAGUUGACAUGCCUCAGUGUUCCAUUAUGCCCAGUGUUUUCCUGUGUCAUGGUUCUGGAACUGGACAUGGGCACUGUAGGUAUGAUAAGUAUUCAACCCCCUUAGAUUUCUUCACAUUUUAUUGUUACAAAGUGGGAUUCAAAUUGAUUUAAUUGUCAUGUCAUGUUGGUCUUCUGUCAUAUAGAUUAUGUUUGAUUUUGUGUGUGAGUGAGGUUUUUACCCGCCAGGCAGCAGCGGGCAUCGCAACCCUGAAGAGCACGAUUAACGGAUCAUUGGAGGAGCAUGACAGUCGGGAGUCCACAACACUGUCUGUGUUCUGGUUGUCUGUGGAGGAUGUGCAGGAUCAAUCCUUAUUCGAUUUGUCAUACAUUUUGAAUGAGCCCCCUCGGCCAUCUUCGAGGGUCCGGAAGGAGUGAAACGGAUGUCCUUUGAUGUCCAUGAUCAAAAAAGCAGUGGACCUAUCAGAGGUAAAGAACAAAUGGGAGGACUGGCUGAGCCUACUGAGGCUGAAAAGGAACGUUGUCAUGGCGCUUGCAACGCCAGGGUUGUGGGUUCGAUUCCCACGGGGGACCAGUAUGAAAAAUGUAUCCACUCACUAACUGUAAGUCGCUCUGGAUAAGAGCAUCUGCUAAAUGACUAAAAUGUAAAUGUAAAGACAAUGGAGGACAGGGAUGGUGUGGUUGAAUUGGUGGCUCAACAAUUUGUUGAAGGGAGCAUGCAGGUGGCCUUGGAGCAGUACGUCAACGCUGUUAUAAAUCUGUGAAGUACUUGUCAUUACCUCCUCUAACAUACAGUAAGUGUAUUUAAUCGGUCCACCCCCCUAAAUCAAUACACAUCACUAUAUUGUCCUUAACACUUAUUUCUUUAAAUAUACAUACUGUCUCUAAACCAUAACAGGUUCAAAUAUGUUCUCAACUCUCUUGGGCUGCUUGAGGCAUUGGGGAACCACCCGGACAGCUUCCGAGCACUUUUUGUGGACUCCAUAAAGCCUCCCACUGCCAGGGACCUGUUUAAAGUAACCUAUUCCACACGGCAACCGGCGGUGGUUGAGGAACGACACCAUCUGCCGCUGGCCAAGGUGCAAGAUGGAGAAUGUCCUCCUCUAACAGUGGCAAUGGUGUUGGAGUUUUCUACUGGGGCAACGGUGGUGCCACCCCUGGGGUUUGAGGACACCCUGACCAUCGAAUUCCUCCACACAGCGCGAGGGAGUCUCGCUGGGCAGCAGAAGAAAAGUACCCAGAGGC